rnacentral:lncRNA from 1 species
CUCUUUUCCAAACACAACAAACUCACCGCCACACACUGCCCUUCCUGUGACCUUGAAUCCAGAGACCACCAGGCCCAAAAGCCACUUGGAGGAUUUCACUACUGUCUCUGUGGUAGUCAGAAGGGCUGAGAGCAGAACGCAGGAGCCAGAAGACAAUGUCAGAACCCCUUGGAACUGGAGUUACAGACAGGUAGGGAAUCCACAACAGACCAAAGCAUGGAUACGCCCCAAGUCCAACGUGGUGAACCGAUGAAUCUCCAAAGCACAACCCAGACACAGGUGACAUCUCUGGGAACCUGAGCACAAGACACAGCUUCAGCGAGCUCAGCAGGUUGGUCACAGACCAGACAACAAAAGGUUCAUCCUCCUGCCUGACCAUCAUCCAUCCAUCAGCAAGACCAUGCUCCAGUUUGGACUUCCUGGAUUCUGCAGCUUCAUGCAGGAGUUAGAGCAUGUGAGGAGAUCAGCUCGGGUCCAUAGCUGGGCCCAACCACCUGCUUCUCUUCCUAUCCUCAGUGUCACAACAAUACAGGAUUCAGUCGUGAGGAUACCCCAGCCCAUCUGCUCAUUGCUCCACACAGCUACUGCCUCCAGGAGUUGAACACCUGUGACAGAGCCAAUUAUCUAGGGAUAGAGGAGCCAAGAGGCUUGGGUUGCCCUUGAGGCUGUAUUUGGGCC